GGGACUCUUCAUCAGAGUCCCCAUCAGUGGGACUCUUCACCAGAGUCUCCAUCCAGUGUGACUCUUCAGAUUAGCCAUGUGAUUGGAGAAAAAUUUUUAAUGUGUGUGACCCCAUAAGUUCGUAUCUAAGCCAGUAGCACAGGAACUGAUUCCUGCACCAAUCGGUGUAACCAUCUAGCAAUAGUACCCAACAUCCAGAUAGAUCGAAUAUAUGCAAAGCAACACUCAAGAACCUAUUUGGAUAUAGUUAUCAUAUAAU
rnacentral:lncRNA from 1 species